UUCACUCCUGCAAAAUUACAAUCAACCUCUUUCAGAGCUGGCCUAAGCUCUUACCUCCUGGAAAUUGCUUUCCUAGUAACUAGGCUUUCAGAUCCCCAUCCCCCAACCCCCAAUACAUUAUUAUGCAGUCACAGCUUUUGUUCUGAGUUCCGCGCCUGGUUCUCUCUUUGCAUUGUAACCUCUUUGGGGAGAAGGAAUGUGCACUGGCUCCACUGUGUGUCUCUCUACAGCUCCUUAGUAUAGUGAUGGCCAAAAAUACUCUUAAAAUGCUUAAUGAAUUAACAAAAUUAGAUGUUCUCUCGCAUAAUAGGGCAUUGUGGAAAUGAUGUGUAGUGGUUUCCCUUGUUUCCACAGUCCCUAUAUUGGGAGAAACGUCAAUUUGCUUUUUUUUUCUAAGGCUCACCUGCCCACACUUCAGAACUUUCUGAAUUCUCAGACUUUAUACCGAUGGCAGACCCCAGCUCCACUCAUCCAAAGCUUUCCAUUUUGGUCAGUUUGAAUCCCUAUGAGGCAACUGCUUUCAGAAGGCACUUUCAGCCUCCUGUGUUUGAAAUUCUGGGAGCACUCUGCACUGUGGCAUGGAAAGACAUGGAACUCCUCCUCCUCCACUUCCUAUGAUUCUGAUGGGCUACAAUUCCAAGGGCCUCACUCAUCUGGCCAUAGCUGAAUGAUGGUAGAGAGGAUUCCUUCUGCAGAAGUUGCUAGCUUAGGAUGUAACAUGGAGUCACACAUGAUAAUUUUCUGAAACCUCAUGGAGUCUGUCUUAUAUUAGGAGAAAACUAACAAAUGGGAGCAGGGUGGAGACAGAGAAAAUAAACGUUGCCAAUAUUGG